rnacentral:rRNA from 1 species
AUUAGUUAGUUGGUAAGGUAACGGCUUACCAAGACGUCGAUAGGUAGGGGCCCUGAGAGGGGGAUCCCCCACACUGGUACUGAGACACGGACCAGACUCCUACGGGAGGCAGCAGUGGGGAAUAUUGGACAAUGGGCGCAAGCCUGAUCCAGCCAUGCCGCGUGCAGGAAGACAGCCCUAUGGGUUGUAAACUGCUUUUAUACAGGAAGAAUAAGUCCCUUGCGAGGGAUGAUGACGGUACUGUAAGAAUAAGGACCGGCUAACUCCGUGCCAGCAGCCGCGGUAAUACGAAGGGGGCUA